AAUGAAGAAGGCUGAGAUUUUUCCCCGGUUUCAUGUCUAUAAAAUACUGUUGAUUUUAUGUGCAAUUCAAACGACUUAUGCAACCUAUGACCAAACAAAUGUGUUCAUAGCCUGCGCCGACUUUGCGGGGAAUACGUUAAGCUGUAACAACAGGAGCAUAAUUUGCAUCGAUUCCAUAAAGAUAGGCCAGAAAAGUAAAUUCAUAUGCCCCCGAAUACAAAAUACCAAGGAGAACGAAAAUUGUACUAAAGAAGUUGUGGAAGACUUUGUAAAGAACAAAUGCGAUGGAGCGAGCGACAGUUGCAAUGUGUUUUACAGAGACACAGAGAUAUCCUCGUAUUGUAAGAGGGCAUUUAAGUAUGUCCAGAUUUUCUACACCUGUGUUUCUUCCCCCUCAAAGUGCUCCACGAUUCCUCCCACUUCACCGACGACCACAACAGCCUUAACAAGCAAGCGAUUUCCGUCUGUCCAACAAGUUUCAUCCACGAAAAUUCCCUCAACCAACAUGCCAAGAACUUCGCCCAAAAACGUAGAACGUAAAACAUCAUAUUCCACCUUCCUCACUGACUCUCCUAUCACAACCGCGCAGAAGCCUGAGCACAACACUUCCAGGACAAGGUCAGGCCUUCCAAGUAACGUGAAAGGCAUCAAGAUGGGCACGCGAAAAACAAGCACCACUGCACUGUUAUUUUGAGGGAGUUAUUUUAACUCCUAAAAUAGGAGUUACGGAAAAAGGUACAGAACAACUCACUUUUUGGAGUUAAAAGUAACUCCAGAUUUGGAGUAAAAUAUUAACUCCGUUUUUGCAGUCAGAAUAACUAUCAUUUAGGGGUUAAAAUGUAACUCUUAAAAAGGAGUUAAGCAGUGGUAACUCCACUAUCGGAGUUAUAUUAUUUCUACUUUCAGAGUUCUGAUGCAAAUUGUGUUUGUGUAUUGGAUUAUUAAACUAAAAACAUUAAAGCCAAAGGUUCUCGUAGUGUCAUAUUGGUAAAUUUAUCUCACAAAAUUUCUUAUUAUCAAUUCACAUGCAUUUGUGUAAUAUUGUGAGUUGUAUAUUUGAAAAGACAGAUCAAUACAAAAGCUCUGAAUUGCUAUAUUAAUUGUCUGAAAGGAUCACCUUUUCAUAGCCCACUUUUAAAUAAUUCUAACAUCAGUUGUUGCUUUUAACCUCAAUAAUACUCUUCCUAUACCCUAAAUUAUGAAUUACUUCUGAAAGACUUUGAUUACUGUAAAUUUUAAAGUGAUAAAAUGACCUAUUUAUAAUUAAUAUUGAUUUUUGCAUCCGGCCCGCUUGAAAUGCAUCCGGCCCGGUGUGAAAUGUGAAUAAAACGGCCAAACCAAAGCAACGUAAGACUAAAAUGUGUAAAAACCUUUCCGGAAAAGGCUAAAAGUAUGUUAGAAAUAAAAAACAUACCCGAAAAACGUCUUAGUUUGGAUUUUUUACUCCUUUUUUCGCUGCAUUUUACGUUGUUUUUCUAGUCGAUUAACUCGAUUUGCCCGAAUUUGCCGUGAUUUAGUUGCUAUGGUAACAAUAUCUGUCAUUUCAUUGGCUGUUUCCCGACUAGGAUAUCCUUUCAAGGAGUUGUUGACGUAUUAAAAUUCUGAAAUGGCUUGUAGCCUUGUAGAUUGCAGAAAUUAUAGUUUUUAUAUAGUUAUUUUAUUAUUUUCUAUUUUUUUGCUUUUUUUGUGUUUCAUGAAGUCAAUAAUGUACAGGUAAAAAAAUAAACACGUUAUAUACCGCAGCUUCAGCCCGGAGGCAAAAAUCUGUGCUCUCGGUCUCGAAAACUUCCCUCGGCCUACGGCAAAGGUUAAAAAAUAAACACAUUAUAUUUUACCGGCAGCUUCGGCCCGGAUACAAAAAAACUGUGCCGACGGUUUCGAAAACGGAAAUAACGACCUCACAGCCAGAAAUAACAUAUAUAAUCAAUAGAUCAUCGUCAGCCCUGCCAUUUUUCCCUAUUUUAUGGGGGGAAUGGCUUUGAUAUACAGAUGAACAGAACAGCCUUAUAAACUUGAACUUAAAAGUUAAAUGCCGUAGGAAGAAACUUUAUACAUCGGGAUGAAGAAAGCGAUAUAAGUUAAAAUAUAGGGUUUAGAAGUCAAAUUAUAUUAGUGGCACAAACAUUCGUAAUUUUUGAAGCCUUUUCCGCCUUUUUCACUCCAGAGUUAAAUCAAUUCACGUUUAUAAGACUAAAAUUUAUAAUAAACUAUUAACCCGCUCCUCUUGUGCACGCCAUUUUGAAUUUUAUUUAACUCCAAAAAGAGAGUUGAAUUUUUAUCACCCCCAAAAAAGGGUAAUAGGUGAGUCAAAAUAACACAUAAAAGAGGGUUAGAUUGCUUAACUCCCCCAAAAGGAGUUAAUUCUGCAUAGUUAAUAAGGUCUAAAAAUUAUUAACCCCUCAAAGAGAGUUAUUUUUACUCCAAAACUAUAGUUAAAUUUUUAACUCAACUAAAAAAGGAUAAUGGGAGAGUUAAAAUAACUCCCUGAAAAUAACAGUGUGUGGUCACAGUUUCCUCCACGAAGCCGGGAAGUAACGACGACACGACGAAACCUCCCGAAGUCAAGCGAAAUAAUGGACACUGCUUUUUACCUUCGAGAUUUCAUUUGAUGGUUAUUCUAGUGGGUUUUAUCGCAAUUCUGGUGUAACUGUGCUCUAUAGCGCCGUUGAUGUAAACCAACAUUUAUCAGGAGGAAAUAUAUUGAUUUUAUCUCUUAUCGAAUAGACUGCAUGUUUUUUAGGUUUAAAAUAGUAGGAAAGUUUAACUUUGCUUGCAUCUGCCCACCUUUAUUAUAACAAAUAAACGCAUUUAAAAAAAACUUUCUUAGGAGUCUGCAUAUUAUUAUUAUAACAAUAUUUCAGUAGGAAGCUUCACUCACAGUAAAGUGAUUUUUGCCUUAUCAUCUUAUCGCUUUGAUAAGAAUUUUGAGAAAGAAAAUAACAAAAAUAACAUUGGUAUAGGAGGGUAAUAAGGUGUUGAUUUAGUUGAAGUAUGAGUAUAGGUAUUUGCAUAUAUAUGAAGGUGUAUGUACGGGUAUGUAUAUCAGUAUAUUAAUGUGUAUGUACAGAUUUAGGACUGCAAUUCCCUUUUCAUUUCUUGAAACUGUUCAAAUACAGUCGUCUUGCAGCAAUCUUUGAGCAACAAAAACAAACAAACAAACUUCAGGCGUUUCUUUUUUGAUCUAGUUUAAUAAAAAGAUCGUCUAACUCGAACGAGUUUUGUAAAAGGAAAUUUACAUUUGAAAAUG
rnacentral:lncRNA from 1 species